UUGGCAACUUGGGGUGGUUUUGCUGUCUGCAUUUUUUGUCUUUAGCCCCUGUGUUUUGGAGAAGUGCCUGCCCACAGCAGCUGAGCCAGACUUCCAGGGCUGGAAGCACAUCUUCUAAAUCAUGGAUAAAGAAGAGGUACUCCAAUAAACAUCUCUCACCAUCUUCUCCUCCUGGUUUUGGGGACAGAAAGGAGCAGGAUCCACUCUUUUUUGUUAUUGUCAAGUUACUGAAUCCCUUCCAGAGCUGCUUGUACUUCUGUGAUCAAGUUUGGUCAAGUUUGGUUCUGUGAUCAAGGUGCACAAAGUUUCCCAUUUCCUUUUUCUUUCCCAGAAAGAAGUUUGAGAGAACUUUUGAAAGAAGCACAGAAGUUUGAGAGAAACAGUGGCUGUGAGAAAAUGAUUCUCCUAUGAACUAUGAGAAAGAAAAAGCUGAGAUCACGAUGGGUGGAUCCUCCUUUACCCAACUGUCCAGAUCAGCCUCCUAGAAUAACUUACCCAGGGAGAGAUCAUUUGUUUCAGUGAAAUACAGAUCUCAAGGGAGAUCUUGAUUAUAAGGGAAAAGAUAAUAUAUCAGGUAACAUGGGCUUCCUCUAAUAUUCCCUUUUAUUCCCAUCUUCUACAGUCCUCGCUCCCAUCCAGUUCUUUUUUUCCCACACAUCCUCUGCCAAUCUCUUCUCCCUGGAGUCUGUUCCUGCUCCUGGGGAGUUCCAUUCCAGUCCUUGUCUGGAUCUGGGUGAUAUUACAUCAGGCUUCAUGUCCUGUUCUGGGAGAGAAAGCAAGACAAUAAAUCUCUCCUGUUUUUAACAGGCUAAUUACGAUUUUGUGUAACCCACUGGCUUACUGUUUCUCCACCAGAGCUUGGGAGGAGCAGGGAAGGAAGAGGCAGAACUACUGAACAAAACCCCACAGCAGCCUUUUUUGGCAUCGUUUGUGAAGGAAAGGGGAGAGAACAGGAGAGAGAUCCUAAUCUUAAUAUGCAUUAGGUGCUGCCAUACAUCAGGUGGGUGUGGACUGAAAUGCUCAGUAGCCAGAGAUGGUAGAUUAGGCAGAUUGUUUGCUGUGAGAUGGAGAGAGGGAAAAGAGCAGGAAAGACUCAAGGAGGGGCUGCAGAAGGGUGUGAGGUUAGAUUCUUGCUAUCCUGGAUGAAAAUGCCACAUGCUGAUGGUAUCCAUUCCACCCUUUCCAUUCUAACUGAAGUCUCCCAUGGGCUCAAGGGGGCUACCACUGCCCAGUGUCCCCAGCAGCCCCUCUUUCAGUUCCUUGGUACCUGGGUUGGGAUGGGGGAUCUCCUUCCAAGGGACAUGUUAAACUCUUCUUUCUUAUGGGGUUAUGUGCAUUUUCCUUCUUGAAGUGAUGUUUCCCCUUAAACCCAUGAUUUUUUAGACUUCCUUCCCACCUUUUAUGCAUAUUGUGAGCUGGAAAAUAAACCUUUAAGUGGCUUGAA